AUUGAACGCUGGCGGCAGGCCUAACACAUGCAAGUCGAACGGUAACAGGAAGCAGCUUGCUGCUUUGCUGACGAGUGGCGGACGGGUGAGUAAUGUCUAGGAAACUGCCUGAUGGAGGGGGAUAACUACUGGAAACGGUAGCUAAUACCGCAUAACGUCGCAAGACCAAAGAGGGGGACCUUCGGGCCUCUUGCCAUCGGAUGUGCCCAGAUGGGAUUAGCUAGUAGGUGGGGUAACGGCUCACCUAGGCGACGAUCCCUAGCUGGUCUGAGAGGAUGACCAGCCACACUGGAACUGAGACACGGUCCAGACUCCUACGGGAGGCAGCAGUGGGGAAUAUUGCACAAUGGGCGCAAGCCUGAUGCAGCCAUGCCGCGUGUAUGAAGAAGGCCUUCGGGUUGUAAAGUACUUUCAGCGGGGAGGAAGGGAGUAAAGUUAAUACCUUUGCUCAUUGACGUUACCCGCAGAAGAAGCACCGGCUAACUCCGUG
rnacentral:rRNA from 1 species